rnacentral:rRNA from 1 species
AACGAACGCUGGCGGCAGGCCUAACACAUGCAAGUCGAACGCCCUAGCAAUAGGGAGUGGCAGACGGGUGAGUAACACGUGGGAACGUGCCUUUCGGUUCGGAAUAACCCAGGGAAACUUGGACCAAUACCGGAUACGUGCGAGAGCAGAAAGAUUUAUCGCCGAAAGAUCGGCCCGCGUCCGAUUAGCUAGUUGGUGAGGUAACGGCUCACCAAGGCGACGAUCGGUAGCUGGUCGAGAGGAUGAUCAGCCACACUGGGACUGAGACACGGCCCAGACUCCUACGGGAGGCAGCAGUGGGGAAUCUUGCGCAAUGGGCGAAAGCCUGACGCAGCGACGCCGUGUGCGGGAAGAAGGCC